rnacentral:rRNA from 1 species
GAGCGAAGGGGGCUAGCGUUGUUCGGAAUUACUGGGCGUAAAGCGCGUGUAGGCGGUUGUCCAAGUUGGAUGUGAAAGCCUUGAGCUACAACUCAAGAAAUGCAUUCAGGACUGGAUGACUGAGAGGACCGGAGAGGAUAGUGGAAUUCCCAGUGUAGUGGUGAAAUACGUAGAGAUUGGGAAGAACACCAGUGGCGAAG